rnacentral:rRNA from 1 species
GCUGGAAUCGCUAGUAAUCGCGGAUCAGAAUGCCGCGGUGAAUACGUUCCCGGGUCUUGUACACACCGCCCGUCACACCAUGGGAGUCGGAAAUGCCCGAAGUCUGUGACCCAACCUUAGGGAGGGAGCAGCCGAAGGCAGGUCGGAUGACUGGGGUGAAGUCGUAACAAGGUACC